AACUCAUGACCAUCCUGCCUCUCCACUCAGCUCCACAGCACAGUCUCCAACUCAUGGCCAUCUUGCCUCUCC